rnacentral:rRNA from 1 species
UACGUAGGGGGCUAGCGUUGUCCGGAAUCAUUGGGCGUAAAGCGCGUGUAGGCGGUCCGGUAAGUCCGCUGUGAAAGUCGGGGGCUCAACCCUCGAAUGCCGGUGGAUACUGUCGGGCUAGAGUGCGGAAGAGGCGAGUGGAAUUCCUGGUGUAGCGGUGAAAUGCGCAGAUAUCAGGAGGAACACCAAUGGCGAAGGCAGCUCGCUGGGACGUGACUGACGCUAAGGCGCGAAAGCGUGGGGAGCGAACAGG